CUUGGCGUCGCCUCGCGCCGUUCUCGGCAGCCCUGCCACUCCAGCUGCUCCGGACCAACGACGGCUACAGCCCGGCCGAUCGCACCGCCACCACCACCACCACCGCCGCCGCCUGAUAGCGCAGACUCUUCAGUCUUCCAGCAAAGACCCUUCAGCCUUUCAUCAUAGACCCUUUGGCCUCCUGAUAUGGACUUGGACAGGACGCUACACUGAGCUCCAGGCCUUGGAUCUCCAGCAUGCAAACAGCUGUUUUGCCCUCUUCCACACCUGACUCUGUGGGUGGCCAUUGUAAGCCUAUUUUGUAAAUCCUUAUGUAUUUAUAUAUCUUGCAUUAACUGUUUCUCUAGUAAGCAGUAACUGAUACAAUAGGGAAAGGGAAUUUGGGGUGGCAGUGUCUAGAGUUAUGAAUAGGGCCUCUUCUGAUGUUCUUCCAGACUCAGAAGUGAUAAUAGGAAGAGUUUUAAAUUACCUUUAACUUAUUUAGGUUACAGUAGAGAGAUCAUCAAAGUCAUAGGGUAAAAGAGUCUUAGAAGAGGGGACAGAUGGUAAGUCCAAUUAAGAGAUUCUUUAGGAGCCUAGGUCGGUGUUUCAGAUAAGAAAUGAUUAAUACCUAGAGAAGAGAAGAUGGAUUCCUGCAAUGUUUAGGAAUUAGAAGCAGCAAAACAUGAUGAUUAGUUGGAUGUAGAAGAUGAAGCUUGAGAAAAAUCUAAUGUAGCUUCUAGGUUUCUGGUUUGGGCAAUGAGGAUAUGGUACCACUUGUGCAAGCAAAAAUAAAGGAGGGAGAUGAGUUUACUUCUGUGACCCAGUAGAGUUUAAGUGGCUAUGAACAUCCACAUUCUAGUAGAGUCUGGGUGAUUCACAGGUGGUUGGAAUUUGAGUGUGAAUCAGCAGUUACCAAUCUUGGGAUCAUCACCCUGUAGGGCCUAUUGGAGGCCAUGGGAGUAGAGAAAUCAUUUAAGGGUGGCAUGUAGAUGAGAAAGGGAAGGGGAAGUAAGGACUAUAUAACCCUAUCGAGACAGGGAGAAAAAAAUGUGGCCAGCAAGAGAGAUUGAAAACUACAGUGGACCCUUGACUUACGAACUCAAUUUGCUCUCAAGGGCUGGUUGUAACUCAAGUUGGUCAAUGGAAGGCUCAGCCUCCUCUACACAGCCUUCAGAGUCUCUCUCCUGUACACAUGAGAUCUCAGCAUCCUUAGAGAGACAUUAGCCCAAGAUUUCUCAAUUAACCCCACACAGGAAAGGAUGUUGUAAUGUUCCUUCCAGAACUCUUUAAGGUUUAAAUCUGUAUCUGAGACCAUCUGGAAGCACAAGCAUCUGGCAUUCAGGUGGUAACUCAAGACUUUGUUCAUAAAUUAAAAUUAAAAUUCCAUUCAUAACCCAAGUUGUUCAUAUGUCAGGCUGGUUGUAACUCUAGGGCCCACUAGUAGUAGGCCCACUAGUAGUUUGCUAGUAGUAAACAGUGAGAGAGGAUUAAUGAGUAUGCUAUCCUGGAACUCAUGAGGAAACAGAAUAUCAAGACGAGUGUUGUGGCAAAUGGCAUCAAACCCUGCUGAGAAGCCAGCCCAGGUGAAAUCUGAAAAGGAUGGAGACGUCAUGGGUAAGUUUAGUGACACCAAGGGAGCAGAGGGCAGAGAGCACUCUCAGGGAGCAAAGAAGUGAGUAUAGAUGAAGAGGUGGAUACCCUAAGAGCAGACUACUUCGGAGACACUUCACUCAAGGUGAAAGGAGAGAAGUUAAGCACUAGUUAGGGCCAUAUGGAGUCAUGGGGAUAAUUUUUAGCUCAUAUCAUUGUUAAACAUAGAGGUGAGAAGUAUCAAAGUUCAGAGAGUCCUCUUCAGUUUUAUAAAAUCAAAACUUGUCACUUUAUUGGAGCUUCCACAAAUGAGUCAGACCCCAUUAGAGCACAUGUCACUUGGCUGUUACAGGUACCUGGCCAUGACUCAGCAAUGCUGACAAAGAGCCACGCAGUGCUAUAUAUUUCUAAGCAGUGCCUAUGCAUUGUCAAGCACUGAUUUAAAAGAUCACACAGUGGUGCACAGCUGGCAAAACAGCCCAGAACUCUGGAAGUUGUAUUUCCAUUUGUGGAACUUUGAGAAUCUGCAUUUGAUUUUAAAAUGCCUUGAGAUUAAGGACACCUAAGCCUUUGUAGGAAAAUAAACCUCAGAAAUAUAUUGAUUCAACUCAACACCAUGAAAUAUUUUUUCUGGCUCGAGUAAUUAAUUUUUCUAAACAGAUCGGUAGUUAAGAAUACAGGCAGUGAAUCAAUUGACUUGAGUUUUGAAUCAUGGGUCAACUUCUUAGAAGCUGUGAGAUCUUGGAGAAGUUCCUAAUUCAUAAAAUUAGAAAACUAAUAGUACCUACCAUCUCCACCCACAGAUGCCUGCACACUUGCCUGCCUUCUUGGUGCUGUUUGGCAACCAAAAAUGUCGGCACACAUUAGCAAAUAUCCCUUGGGAAGUAAAGUCACUCCCUGUUGAAAACCACUCCUCUAGGCUAGGUGAUUUUUCUGGGUUUAUUUUUUAUAAUUACACAGAUAGAAUCCACUUUUAUCAAGUGAUUCCAACCACAGGAGGUUUUUCAGAAGUACAGCUGGCUUUGGGGGUGUCCUACAAAGUGAAAGGAGGGUGUCAUGAGAAGACAGAGAGUCUUAUGCAAGCCAUUCUGGAUCAUCAAGUCUCAAGGCUGGAUCCUGCUCACCCCCUUCUCAGUCCUACUGUCUUUGUUUCUCCACUCCAAGGUCCAAUGCCUGCUGCAACUGCCCUUGGCGUCAUUUAGCAUAAAUAUUCAAGGGAGGAAUCUUAAUGAUACAGCUCAUUUUCCAAAUUACACCCAUAAUUCAUGCCCU
ensembl:lncRNA